rnacentral:piRNA from 1 species
UGAGUGUUUUAAUUCGACUUGCUCUGGGUC